rnacentral:rRNA from 1 species
AACGAACGCUGGCGGCAUGCCUAACACAUGCAAGUCGAACGAGAUCUUCGGGUCUAGUGGCGCACGGGUGCGUAACGCGUGGGAAUCUGCCCUUUGGUUCGGAAUAACAAUUGGAAACGACUGCUAAUACCGGAUGAUGACGAAAGUCCAAAGAUUUAUCGCCAGAGGAUGAGCCCGCGUAGGAUUAGCUAGUUGGUGUGGUAAAGGCGCACCAAGGCGACGAUCCUUAGCUGGUCUGAGAGGAUGAUCAGCCACACUGGGACUGAGACACGGCCCAGACUCCUACGGGAGGCAGCAGUGGGGAAUAUUGGACAAUGGGCGAAAGCCUGAUCCAGCAAUGCCGCGUGAGUGAUGAAGGCCUUAGGGUUGUAAAGCUUUUUUACCCGGGAUGAUAAUGACAGUACCGGGAGAAUAAGCUCCGGCUAACUCCGUGCCAGCCGCCGCGGUAAGAC